GUCUAGCAGCGAGGCGCGAGUCGGAGCGAAGGCUUGGUGUGUGUGCGGUGCAUAGAAACAUUUCUGUUCGGGCUAUUUUGUACAAGAUAAGCUCUGUGAUAACGCGCGUGUGUCGGCGCGAUGGAAGCGUGAAUGUGCCGUGAUUUCUUGUGUGGCGAAGUCAAACAGGGGCCGUUCCGCUCCGAGGCCCGGGGAGCACUAGAAUGGUCGGGGCGUUGAGGGAGGCUCCGUAGCUGCAAGAUGUGAGCGAGAGAAGACUAGGUACUUUAAUGAAAUAUGCGCCCGAGGCCGUGCCCGAGCCUUGCCAGUGAAGCCCCACCGCAAGAUCUCAACUUUUCUUUGUUUCUUGUGCAAGUGUAGAUAGAUGGUGGGUGCGUUCCACUAGUCGAGUAUCGGAGUGCGACGAGGCUGGUGGCAGCCACUGGGUGUCUGGCGAGGUGACCGGCCCACACCAGGAGAGGAAUUAAAUCAUGGUGAGAGUUUGAGUGGCGUGAAGUGCACACGAAAAGGAAGGUAUGUGUGGCUUUGUGACGGCAGGAGGACACUGCUUGAAAUACACAGGGCGAGUGAGUGCGUGUGGCUGAGAGGGACCUUCGGCGGCCCCGCUCGAAGUGGCUCUUGGAUGCCCUCCCUCGUGCCAGUGGUGCAGCCGCCUGUCACUCCUGCAGCGCUCGCGGAAUGAAAGCUGAUGAGGCGCUGUUUACCUGCACGUGAGACAGCAGAGGACGCCGGGGUUAAACAUGCUGGCCAGACCCGAGGUGCCAUCCGAGGCGACCGUGCCAUGCCCAGUGCCACGCAGAAGGCAUCCCAUCCACAUGUGCCUCUCCUGGAGCAUCGCCACCAUCCAGUGCCCUCUGUCUCCGCCCUAUUCUCCCCGUCCCCUUCGCCGAGUGCCAAGUGCCAAUGAUUGUGGUCCCGGGCAGUGCUAAAUAGCGUGGAGAGGUGUGUCCAGGCGUGCCAGGUGGUGCCAAAAUAAAUGCACAUAUUUAUCGCUUCGUCCCUAUGGUGUUAGUGAUUGCCGUUGGCACCAGAGAGAGUGAAGAAGAUAGUAUUGUGUACCCUUGUUUCCCCUAGUGCCAAAUAUUUCCCUUCAGUGCCAGAUAUUGCAAGUGGUAUCCGGUGUGCCAAAGUACGGAUAGUACUUAAGUUCAAGUGGAUGUAUUAUCCUCACUUCACACGGGAUAAGUGAUGUGAUAUGUGCCAAGUGAAUGUAUAAGUGAAUGCUGUAAGUGCAUGGUGAAGGUACGUGUUAUAAUAAAUGAGUGACUGUAGUUCUUUGUGUCAAGACAGUGCCAAAAUUACGUGCCACGGAAAGCUUUAUUCUCCAAGAAGUGCAAUAUCAACCCCUUAAGCUCCUAAUAGUGUAAUUGCAAGGUCUUUGAAAUGCAAGAAGUGACUGUGACAAAUUUGAAAAGCGCAAUUUAACACAUUAUUUAUAUAUAUAUUUAUCAUAAGCUUUAUUCCCAUAGCUAAAUCCGUUAAUAUGUAUACGAAAGGAGAAAUAGAAAAUCAACUAAUCUAGAAAAAAAAGAGAGAGAGAGAAAGAUUAAGAUAGAAAUAAAUAAGAAAAUAAACAAAAAGGUAUUAAUAGAUAAAAGGGAAUAUUUCCGGUGAUUCUGAUUCUCUCUAACGAAUACCCCCCCCCCCCCCCCGAAAAAAAGAAAGAAAACGAGAAAGAGAAAGAGAGAAAGAGAGAAACGAAAGCGCUAAAAUUAUGCAUCCGAGCCGCGGGGAGGCAGCCAGCGCCAGGAACCGAGGCAGCUCCUUCCAGGACACCGGAUGAAGGGGCGGCGGCACCUCGAAGACUCUUGGCCUCUCCUUGCCCCUCCAUCAUGGCCUUCGUCACCUAGCCGACAGGUGUGUCUGUGUAGGCAGUGUCUCGGGUGCGUCGGAGGCUCCACACGCACACUCACACGUACACUUACACGCACACACAAGCACACGCGCACACGAGCACAGACAUAAACACACACACGGUGCUUAGGUAGUGUACUGGGAGGACUUUCAUACACAAGCACGAGCACGAGCACUUACACAUACUCAAGCAUACACGCGCGAACACACACACACACACACACACACACACACACACACACACACACACACACACACACAAGCAAACAAACAAUCACACACAAACAAGCAAGCCAACAUGGAGACACCCAUUCCAAAAGACACUCACUGACCCACGCUGACAGCCCUUGAGACCGUAGCCCGAAAUCCGCCCCACACUUACACCCACUACACACCUCCACCCACACACCCUUACCUUCCCCCCCACCCACCCUGUCCUGCCCACCCCCACGCCCCCCAGCCCACCAAAAUGGGUCAGAACUACGGACGCUUCCACGACCCCGAAAGAAAGACGAAUUCAAGUUUCUCUCACGACUCGGACAUCAGCCUCAGCACCCACAGCGCGGAUUUCUCGCUGACGCCGCCGCGGUCUCGGAAAGCGGUGUCCUUCCAAGGUAAGC